rnacentral:rRNA from 1 species
CCUACGGGACGCAGCAGUGGGGAAUAUUGCACAAUGGGGGAAACCCUGAUGCAGCAACGCCGCGUGAGUGAGGAAGUAUUUCGGUAUGUAAAGCUCUAUCAGCAGGGAAUAGAAAAGAAGGUACCUGAAAAAGAAGCCCCGGCUAACUACGUGCCAGCAGCCGCGGUAAUACGUAGGGGGCAAGGGUUAUCCGGAUUUACUGGGUGUAAAGGGAGCGUAGACGGAAAGGCAAGUCAGAAGUGAAAGCCCAAGGCUCAACCAU